UGUUUCGGCCAGCUCCACCCAGACAGAGAGCAGGAUAUAGCCCGCAAUUACGAUCAACGGCAUGUUUCCACUCCAAGCCAGAGCCCUUUGUUUUAGUUUCCCGCUAGCUUUUUUAACACUGUCUCCUCUUGAGUAAACACUACAAACGGUUGGGUGUCACAUCAAUCAAGACUGUGUUCACUGCUGAUCAGCUUGUGAAAGCACAUGGCGUCAUGCAAGCUGCAUUUGUGUGUCCCUGGAACAAUGAGUAAUACAAGUCUCGGGGGUUUUGAGAAGGGAUUGCCUCAUAGCGUGUAUGUUCUGCCUCCUCCUUCCUCAGCCACGCCUGUGAGAACACAGAAAAGAACAUGUACAUGUUCGCUCCGCAGCCUCACGAGAGCACAAACAGACCGUCUCUGUGGCCGAGGGCACCGUCCAGGCAUCAUGUGGUACCCUGUGUGGACAGCUUUUUGAGGCUUUAGUUCUGUAACUAGCCUCGGGGGAAGCGGUGACCAGCCGCUGUCAGAGUAUCCAGGAUUAGGCCGUCUUCUUGAGGCUUGCGGAUGACAGCGGUACCCAUCUCUUCACCACUGGCAUCGCCGGAGGAACAUCAUCAAGGUGAACGCCAGAUAAAACCAAAUUAUUGAUCAAAGCUUCUGUAUCUUGUUACG